UCCUCCCUCCAAAUCCCCCCUUUGCUUCACGGCUGGGGUGGGUUCGGGUGUUGGACCGCGUUGGACCGUUCGCGGCCAACUGGUCUCAAAGACAAUGACGGGCGUCCAUGGGACCCUCUUCGCACUGAGCUUUCCGGAGCACGCGUCGAGUUGCAAGGUCUCGUGGGCCCGGCCACCUCUAAAUCUAAUUUUUUCA
rnacentral:misc_RNA from 1 species